GUCGCUCUUGGGUCUGCAGGCCUGUCUUCAGUUGCACGUGGCCAUCAAGGAGGAAAGUCCUGUUGUGGCACAUGAAGGACUGCACAAGGGGACAUGCCUCCGGGCUGAUGGGGGAGAAGCAGCCUUCCCUUGAGACAGAUCUAGAUCUGUUAAGUGCUUUGACGAAGAUCAAGGAUGGUGCAGACUGGCGUCUUUGGGCCAAACUCUUCAUUUUUUGCUUCUUGCUGUCGGCGGCGGCGAACACUCUGCUCUCGCCGCUCACCGAGGAUGAGCGGCCGGGCCCGAGGUGCUCCUGUUGCGGGGACAUCACGUCCAUGCGGCCCCGCGCCGCCGAUCUCCCGCCGCGGCGACACCCCAACCGCCGCCGCUGCCACCGCCGCCGCCGCCGCCGCCGCCCGCACCAUGGACAGGGCGCGCCGCGAUGGCAC
rnacentral:lncRNA from 1 species